UCCGGCAUGGUCUAGUGGUUAUGAUACGUGGCUAGGACCCACGAGGCCCGGGUUCGAUUCCUGGUGUCGGAA